rnacentral:rRNA from 1 species
AAGUCCGCAACGAGCGCACCCUUAUCCUUGUUGCCAGCGGUCCGGCCGGGAACUCAAAGGAGACUGCCAGUGAUAAACUGGAGGAAGGUGGGGAUGACGUCAAGUCAUCAUGGCCCUUACGACCAGGGCUACACACGUGCUACAAUGGCGCAUACAAAGAGAAGCGACCUCGCGAGAGCAAGCGGACCUCAUAAAGUGCGUCGUAGUCCGGAUUGGAGUCUGCAACUCGACUCCAUGAAGUCGGAAUCGCUAGUAAUCGUGGAUCAGAAUGCCACGGUGAAUACGUUCCCGGGCCUU